GAUGAACGCUGGCGGCGUGCCUAACACAUGCAAGUCGAGCGAACAGACGAGGAGCUUGCUCCUUCGACGUUAGCGGCGGACGGGUGAGUAACACGUAGUCAACCUACCUAUAAGACUGGGAUAACUUUGGGAAACCGUAGCUAAUACCGGAUAAUAUUUCGAACUGCAAUGUUCGAUAGUUAAAGUUGGUUUUGCUUACACUUAUAGAUGGACAUGCCCCGUAUUAGCUAGUUGGUUAGGUAACGGCUUAGCAACGCAACGAUUCGUAGCCGACCUGAGAGGGUGGUCGGCCAGACUGGCACUGAGACACGGCCCAGACACCUGCAGUAAGCAGCGGUAGGGAAUCUUACGCGAUGGAGGAGAGCGUAACAGAGCAACACCGGGUGAGUGAUGAAGGUCUUCGGAUCGUAAAACUCUGUUGUUAGGGAAGAACAAACGUGUAAGUAACUGUGCACAUCUUGACAGUACCUAAUCAGAAAGCCACGGCUAACUACGUG
rnacentral:rRNA from 1 species